rnacentral:rRNA from 1 species
AUAAUUAUAAGUAAAAUCUGCUCCAUGAUAAGUAAAUAGCCGCAGAAAUUUAACUGUGCUAAGGUAGCAUAAUCAUUUACCUUUUAAUUAAAGGUCUGUAUGAAUGAUUUUACAAUUAAUUUAUUUUUUUAUUAAACUUUAUUAAACUUAAAUUAAAAAUAAAAAUGUUUUUAUAAAAAAAAAAGACGAUAAGACCCUACUGAACUUAACUCAUGUUAAGCUGGGGAAGCUAAUUAAAUACAAUUUUAAUUCUAAAAACUAAAAUAAUUUCUAACAUAAUUAAAUUUAAAGUUACCAUAGGGAUAACAGCGUAAUAUAAUUUUAAAGUUCAUAUUAAAAAUUAAGCUUACGACCUCGAUGUUGAAUUAGAAUUUCUAAUAAACGCAAGCGUUUAUAAAGUAGGUCUGUUCGACCUUUAAUAUUCUACA